rnacentral:misc_RNA from 1 species
GAUGAAGAACGUAGCGAAAUGCGAUAAGUAAUGCGAAUUGCAGAAUCCGUGAAUCAUCGAAUCUUUGAACGCACAUUGCGCCCGCCAGUAUUCUGGCGGGCAUGCCUGUUCGAGCGUCAUUUCAACCCUCAAGCCCAGCUUGGUGUUGGGGAUCGGCACAGGCGCCCUCGGGCGCCCGCCGUCCCCUAAAUCUAGUGGCGGUCCCGCUGCAGCCUCCUCUGCGUAGUAGUUUUCUCCUCGCAAGGGCAGCUCGGUGGCGACCUCGCCGUAAAACCCCCAACUUCUGAAAGGUUGACCUCGAAUCAGGUAGGAAUACCCGCUGAACUUAAGCAUAUCAAUAAGCGGAGGA